UACGUAGGGGGCUAGCGUUGUCCGGAUUUAUUGGGCGUAAAGAGCGUGUAGGCGGCCAGGUAGGUCUGCUGUGAAAACUCGAGGCUCAACCUCGAGACGUCGGCGGAAACCAUCUGGCUAGAGUCCGGAAGAGGAGAGUGGAAUUCCUGGUGUAGCGGUGAAAUGCGUAGAUAUCUGGAGGAAUACCGGUGGCGAAGGCGGCAUCCUGGACCGACAUUGACGCUGAUGAGCGAAAGCUAGGGGAGCAAACGGG
rnacentral:rRNA from 1 species